GAUGAACGCUGGCGGCGUGCCUAAUACAUGCAAGUCGAGCGAACAGACGAGGAGCUUGCUCCUCUGACGUUAGCGGCAGACGGGUGAGUAACACGUGGAUAACCUACCUAUAAGACUGGGAUAACUUCGGGAAACCGGAGCUAAUACCGGAUAAUAUAUUGAACCGCAUGGUUCAAUAGUGAAAGACGGUUUUGCUGUCACUUAUAGAUGGAUCCGCGCCGCAUUAGCUAGUUGGUAAGGUAACGGCUUACCAAGGCAACGAUGCGUAGCCGACCUGAGAGGGUGAUCGGCCACACUGGAACUGAGACACGGUCCAGACUCCUACGGGAGGCAGCAGUAGGGAAUCUUCCGCAAUGGGCGAAAGCCUGACGGAGCUACGCCGCGUGAGUGAUGAAGGUCUUCGGAUCGUAAAACUCUGUUAUUAGGGAAGAACAAAUGUGUAAGUAACUAUGCACGUCUUGACGGUACCUAAUCAGAAAGCCACGGCUAACUACGUG
rnacentral:rRNA from 1 species